UGGGGAAUAUUGCACAAUGGGCGCAAGCCUGAUGCAGCCAUGCCGCGUGUAUGAAGAAGGCCUUCGGGUUGUAAAGUACUUUCAGCGGGGAGGAAGGGGUUAAGGUUAAUAACCUUAACCAUUGACGUUACCCGCAGAAGAAGCACCGGCUAACUCCGUG
rnacentral:rRNA from 1 species